CCCAGUGUGGUGUAAUGGUUUGAGCAUUGGACUAUGACUCUGGAGACCGAGGUUCGAAUUCUCACUUGGCGA